AAGGCCAGGGGAUGACUAUUCAUUCACUUAGGAAAAUCUUGGGGGUGGGGUUCUGCUAAGGGUUGAAUGUGCUCCUCCCAAAUUCAGAGGUUGAAGCCUAAUCCUUAAUGUGAUGCUAUUAUGAUGUGGGGCCUUUGGGAAGAAAUUAGGCCCUCAUGAAUGGGAAUGAGAAGAAAAGUCACGAGAGAGAUGCUCUCUCUCUCCCUGAUAUGAGAGCACAGGAAGAAGGUGGCCAUCUGCAAACCAAACAGAGGGCCCUCACCAGGAAUCACCAGCCCCUUGAUGUUAGACUUCCCAGCCUUCAGAACUGUGAGGAAUGAAUGUCUGUUCUUUAAACUAAUCUAUGAUAUUUUUGUUAUAGCAGCCUGAACUAAGACAGGCUCACAUACUCACAAGAAAGAAGAAAAAUGGUAGUGUUGAAGGAAGCCAACCGGUGAGAAAGACAGGGUCUCCAGGCUGUUGCUCCAGGCUGGUCUCAGACUCCUGACCUCAAGCAACCGUUGCUCCUGCCUCAGCCUCCCAAAGGGCUGAGAUGACAAGCAUGAGCCGCUGUGCCUGGACAGUAAUUUUUAUUAUAAUAAUUACAAUAUAUUAUAAAUUAUAUAGUAUAUAUCAUACAUUAUUAUCAUACAUCACUACAUGCUAUAUAAUGUAUAAUAUAUUACAUUGUAUAAAUGUAUAUUAACAAGUUUUAUUUUAUAAUUUAGAAUAACAUGAUCUAUAAUAAUACAUAAUAAAACUAUCAGUGGAUUCGAAA
rnacentral:antisense_RNA from 1 species